rnacentral:rRNA from 1 species
AGAGUUUGAUUAUGGCUCAGGAUGAACGCUAGCUACAGGCUUAACACAUGCAAGUCGAGGGGCAGCAUUUGCUAGCAAUAGUAAAGAUGGCGACCGGCGCACGGGUGAGUAACACGUAUCCAACCUACCGUUAACUCGGGGAUAGCCUUUCGAAAGAAAGAUUAAUACUCGAUAGUAUAUGUUUCCCGCAUGAGAGACAUAUUAAAGAAUUUCGGUUAUCGAUGGGGAUGCGUUCCAUUAGGCAGUUGGUGAGGUAACGGCUCACCAAACCUUCGAUGGAUAGGGGUUCUGAGAGGAAGGUCCCCCACAUUGGAACUGAGACACGGUCCAAACUCCUACGGGAGGCAGCAGUGAGGAAUAUUGGUCAAUGGGCGUAGGCCUGAACCAGCCAAGUAGCGUGAAAAGGAUGACUGCCUUAUGGGUUGUAAACUUCUUUUAUAUGGGAAUAAAGUGAUCCACGUGUGGAUUUUUGUAUGUAUCAUAUGAAUAAGGAUCGGCUAACUCCGUGCCAGCCGCGGC